rnacentral:rRNA from 1 species
GGUUAAGCGACUAAGCGUACACGGUGGAUGCCCUGGCAGUCAGAGGCGAUGAAGGACGUGCUAAUCUGCGAUAAGCGUCGGUAAGGUGAUAUGAACCGUUAUAACCGGCGAUUUCCGAAUGGGGAAACCCAGUGUGAUUCGUCACACUAUCAUUAACUGAAUCCAUAGGUUAAUGAGGCGAACCGGGGGAACUGAAACAUCUAAGUACCCCGAGGAAAAGAAAUCAACCGAGAUUCCCCCAGUAGCGGCGAGCGAACGGGGAGCAGCCCAGAGCCUGAAUCAGUGUGUGUGUUAGUGGAAGCGUCUGGAAAGGCGCGCGAUACAGGGUGACAGCCCCGUACACAAAAAUGCACAUGCUGUGAGCUCGAUGAGUAGGGCGGGACACGUGGUAUCCUGUCUGAAUAUGGGGGACCAUCCUCCAAGGCUAAAUACUCCUGACUGACCGAUAGUGAACCAGUACCGUGAGGGAAAGGCGAAAAGAACCCCGGCGAGGGGAGUGAAAAAGAACCUGAAACCGUGUACGUACAAGCAGUGGGAGCACGCUUAGGCGUGUGACUGCGUACCUUUUGUAUAAUGGGUCAGCGACUUAUAUUCUGUAGCAAGGUUAACCGAAUAGGGGAGCCGAAGGGAAACCGAGUCUUAACUGGGCGUUAAGUUGCAGGGUAUAGACCCGAAACCCGGUGAUCUAGCCAUGGGCAGGUUGAAGGUUGGGUAACACUAACUGGAGGACCGAACCGACUAAUGUUGAAAAAUUAGCGGAUGACUUGUGGCUGGGGGUGAAAGGCCAAUCAAACCGGGAGAUAGCUGGUUCUCCCCGAAAGCUAUUUAGGUAGCGCCUCGUGAAUUCAUCUCCGGGGGUAGAGCACUGUUUCGGCAAGGGGGUCAUCCCGACUUACCAACCCGAUGCAAACUGCGAAUACCGGAGAAUGUUAUCACGGGAGACACACGGCGGGUGCUAACGUCCGUCGUGAAGAGGGAAACAACCCAGACCGCCAGCUAAGGUCCCAAAGUCAUGGUUAAGUGGGAAACGAUGUGGGAAGGCCCAGACAGCCAGGAUGUUGGCUUAGAAGCAGCCAUCAUUUAAAGAAAGCGUAAUAGCUCACUGGUCGAGUCGGCCUGCGCGGAAGAUGUAACGGGGCUAAACCAUGCACCGAAGCUGCGGCAGCGACGCUGAUGCGUUGUUGGGUAGGGGAGCGUUCUGUAAGCCUGUGAAGGUGUACUGUGAGGUAUGCUGGAGGUAUCAGAAGUGCGAAUGCUGACAUAAGUAACGAUAAAGCGGGUGAAAAGCCCGCUCGCCGGAAGACCAAGGGUUCCUGUCCAACGUUAAUCGGGGCAGGGUGAGUCGACCCCUAAGGCGAGGCCGAAAGGCGUAGUCGAUGGGAAACAGGUUAAUAUUCCUGUACUUGGUGUUACUGCGAAGGGGGGACGGAGAAGGCUAUGUUGGCCGGGCGACGGUUGUCCCGGUUUAAGCGUGUAGGCUGGUUUUCCAGGCAAAUCCGGAAAAUCAAGGCUGAGGCGUGAUGACGAGGCACUACGGUGCUGAAGCAACAAAUGCCCUGCUUCCAGGAAAAGCCUCUAAGCAUCAGGUAACAUCAAAUCGUACCCCAAACCGACACAGGUGGUCAGGUAGAGAAUACCAAGGCGCUUGAGAGAACUCGGGUGAAGGAACUAGGCAAAAUGGUGCCGUAACUUCGGGAGAAGGCACGCUGAUAUGUAGGUGAAGCGACUUGCUCGUGGAGCUGAAAUCAGUCGAAGAUACCAGCUGGCUGCAACUGUUUAUUAAAAACACAGCACUGUGCAAACACGAAAGUGGACGUAUACGGUGUGACGCCUGCCCGGUGCCGGAAGGUUAAUUGAUGGGGUCAGCGCAAGCGAAGCUCUUGAUCGAAGCCCCGGUAAACGGCGGCCGUAACUAUAACGGUCCUAAGGUAGCGAAAUUCCUUGUCGGGUAAGUUCCGACCUGCACGAAUGGCGUAAUGAUGGCCAGGCUGUCUCCACCCGAGACUCAGUGAAAUUGAACUCGCUGUGAAGAUGCAGUGUACCCGCGGCAAGACGGAAAGACCCCGUGAACCUUUACUAUAGCUUGACACUGAACAUUGAGCCUUGAUGUGUAGGAUAGGUGGGAGGCUUUGAAGUGUGGACGCCAGUCUGCAUGGAGCCGACCUUGAAAUACCACCCUUUAAUGUUUGAUGUUCUAACGUUGACCCGUGAUCCGGGUUGCGGACAGUGUCUGGUGGGUAGUUUGACUGGGGCGGUCUCCUCCUAAAGAGUAACGGAGGAGCACGAAGGUUGGCUAAUCCUGGUCGGACAUCAGGAGGUUAGUGCAAUGGCAUAAGCCAGCUUGACUGCGAGCGUGACGGCGCGAGCAGGUGCGAAAGCAGGUCAUAGUGAUCCGGUGGUUCUGAAUGGAAGGGCCAUCGCUCAACGGAUAAAAGGUACUCCGGGGAUAACAGGCUGAUACCGCCCAAGAGUUCAUAUCGACGGCGGUGUUUGGCACCUCGAUGUCGGCUCAUCACAUCCUGGGGCUGAAGUAGGUCCCAAGGGUAUGGCUGUUCGCCAUUUAAAGUGGUACGCGAGCUGGGUUUAGAACGUCGUGAGACAGUUCGGUCCCUAUCUGCCGUGGGCGCUGGAGAACUGAGGGGGGCUGCUCCUAGUACGAGAGGACCGGAGUGGACGCAUCACUGGUGUUCGGGUUGUCAUGCCAAUGGCACUGCCCGGUAGCUAAAUGCGGAAGAGAUAAGUGCUGAAAGCAUCUAAGCACGAAACUUGCCCCGAGAUGAGUUCUCCCUGACUCCUUGAGAGUCCUGAAGGAACGUUGAAGACGACGACGUUGAUAGGCCGGGUGUGUAAGCGCAGCGAUGCGUUGAGCUAACCGGUACUAAUGAACCGUGAGGCUUAACCUU